AGAGUUUGAUCCUGGCUCAGAUUGAACGCUGGCGGCAUGCCUUACACAUGCAAGUCGAACGGCAGCACGAGAGCUUGCUCUUGGUGGCGAGUGGCGAACGGGUGAGUAAUAUAUCGGAACGUACCCUAGAGUGGGGGAUAACGUAGCGAAAGUUACGCUAAUACCGCAUACGAUCUACGGAUGAAAGUGGGGGAUCGCAAGACCUCAUGCUCAUGGAGCGGCCGAUAUCUGAUUAGCUAGUUGGUGGGGUAAAAGCUCACCAAGGCGACGAUCAGUAGCUGGUCUGAGAGGACGACCAGCCACACUGGAACUGAGACACGGUCCAGACUCCUACGGGAGGCAGCAGUGGGGAAUUUUGGACAAUGGGCGCAAGCCUGAUCCAGCAAUGCCGCGUGAGUGAAGAAGGCCUUCGGGUUGUAAAGCUCUUUUGUCAGGGAAGAAACGGUGGACUCUAAUACAGAUCACUAAUGACGGUACCUGAAGAAUAAGCACCGGCUAACUACGUGCCAGCAGCCGCGGUAAUACGUAGGGUGCAAGCGUUAAUCGGAAUUACUGGGCGUAAAGCGUGCGCAGGCGGUUGUGCAAGACAGAUGUGAAAUCCCCGGGCUCAACCUGGGAAUUGCAUUUGUGACUGCACGGCUAGAGUGUGUCAGAGGGGGGUAGAAUUCCACGUGUAGCAGUGAAAUGCGUAGAGAUGUGGAGGAAUACCGAUGGCGAAGGCAGCCCCCUGGGAUAACACUGACGCUCAUGCACGAAAGCGUGGGGAGCAAACAGGAUUAGAUACCCUGGUAGUCCACGCCCUAAACGAUGUCUACUAGUUGUCGGGUCUUAAUUGACUUGGUAACGCAGCUAACGCGUGAAGUAGACCGCCUGGGGAGUACGGUCGCAAGAUUAAAACUCAAAGGAAUUGACGGGGACCCGCACAAGCGGUGGAUGAUGUGGAUUAAUUCGAUGCAACGCGAAAAACCUUACCUACCCUUGACAUGUCUGGAAUCCUUGAGAGAUCAGGGAGUGCUCGAAAGAGAAUCAGAACACAGGUGCUGCAUGGCUGUCGUCAGCUCGUGUCGUGAGAUGUUGGGUUAAGUCCCGCAACGAGCGCAACCCUUGUCAUUAGUUGCUACGAAAGGGCACUCUAAUGAGACUGCCGGUGACAAACCGGAGGAAGGUGGGGAUGACGUCAAGUCCUCAUGGCCCUUAUGGGUAGGGCUUCACACGUCAUACAAUGGUACAUACAGAGGGCCGCCAACCCGCGAGGGGGAGCUAAUCCCAGAAAGUGUAUCGUAGUCCGGAUUGUAGUCUGCAACUCGACUACAUGAAGUUGGAAUCGCUAGUAAUCGCGGAUCAGCAUGUCGCGGUGAAUACGUUCCCGGGUCUUGUACACACCGCCCGUCACACCAUGGGGGCGGGUUUCACCAGAAGUGGGUAGCCUAACCGCAAGGAGGGCGCUCACCACGGUGGGAUUCGUGACUGGGGUGAAGUCGUAACAAGGUA
rnacentral:rRNA from 1 species